GACGGACGCUGGCGGCGUGCUUAACACAUGCAAGUCGAACGAUGAAGCUGGAGCUUGCUCCGGUGGAUUAGUGGCGAACGGGUGAGUAACACGUGAGCAAUCUGCCCUUGACUCUGGGAUAACUGCGGGAAACUGUAGCUAAUACCGGAUACGAGACCUGAAGGCAUCUUCGGGUCUGGAAAGAAUUUCGGUCAAGGAUGAGCUCGCGGCCUAUCAGCUUGUUGGUGAGGUAAUGGCUCACCAAGGCGACGACGGGUAGCCGGCCUGAGAGGGUGACCGGCCACACUGGGACUGAGACACGGCCCAGACUCCUACGGGAGGCAGCAGUGGGGAAUAUUGCACAAUGGGCGAAAGCCUGAUGCAGCAACGCCGCGUGAGGGAUGAAGGCCUUCGGGCUGUAAACCUCUUUUAGCAGGGAAGAAGCGAAAGUGACGGUACCUGCAGAAAAAGCACCGGCUAACUACGUGCCAGCCGCCGCAGUAA
rnacentral:rRNA from 1 species